GACGAACGCUGGCGGCGUGCUUAACACAUGCAAGUCGAACGGAAAGGCCCUGCUUUUGUGGGGUGCUCGAGUGGCGAACGGGUGAGUAACACGUGAGUAACCUGCCCUUGACUUUGGGAUAACUUCAGGAAACUGGGGCUAAUACCGGAUAGGAGCUCCUGCUGCAUGGUGGGGGUUGGAAAGUUUCGGCGGUUGGGGAUGGACUCGCGGCUUAUCAGCUUGUUGGUGGGGUAGUGGCUUACCAAGGCUUUGACGGGUAGCCGGCCUGAGAGGGUUGCCGGCCACAAUGGGACUGGGAUACGGCCCAGACUCCUACGGGAGGCAACAGGGGGGAAUAUUGCACAAUGGGCGGAAGCCUGAUGCAGCAACGCCGCGUGCGGGAUGACGGCCUUCGGGUUGUAAACCGCUUUCGCCUGUGACGAAGCGUGAGUGACGGUAAUGGGUAAAGAAGCACCGGCUAACUACGUG
rnacentral:rRNA from 1 species